AGGACGAACGCUGGCGGCGCGCUUAAUACAUGCAAGUCGAGCGAGAACCGGGCCUUCGGGCCCGGGGAAAGCGGCGAACGGGUGAGUAACACGUGGGUAAUCUGCCCUCGGCACCGGGAUAGCCCGGGGAAACUCGGAUUAAUACCGGACGGCCUUUCGAGCCCUCGGGCUCGUCAGAAAAGGUGGCUUCGGCUACUGGCUGAGGAGGAGCCCGCGGCGGAUUAGCUUGUUGGCGGGGUAACGGCCCACCAAGGCGACGAUCCGUAGCUGGUCUGAGAGGACGAUCAGCCACACUGGGACUGAGACACGGCCCAGACUCCUACGGGAGGCAGCAGUAGGGAAUCUUGCGCAAUGGGCGAAAGCCUGACGCAGCGACGCCGCGUGCGGGAAG
rnacentral:rRNA from 1 species